GAUUCCCCUGAAGGGCCGUCGAAGACUACGACGUUGAUAGGCUGGGUGUGUAAGCGUUGUGAGGCGUUGAGCUAACCAGUACUAAUUGCCCGUGAGGCUUGACCAUAUAACACCCAAACA
rnacentral:rRNA from 1 species